UACGUAGGCAGCGAGCGUUGUUCGGAAUUACUGGGCGUAAAGAGUGUGUAGGCGGUGCUCUAAGUUCGGUGUGAAAUCUCCUGGCUUAACUGGGAGGGUGCGCCGGAAACUGGAGUGCUCGAACGUGGGAGAGGAAAGCGGAAUUCCUGGUGUAGCGGUGAAAUGCGUAGAUAUCAGGAGGAACACCUGCGGUGUAGACGGCUUCUGGACCAUUGUUGACGCUGAGACACGAAAGCGUGGGUAGCAAACAGG
rnacentral:rRNA from 1 species